AGUCGAGCGAAUCUAAAGGGAGCUUGCUCCCGGAAGAUUAGCGGCGGACGGGUGAGUAACACGUGGGCAACCUACCUGUAAGUCUGGGAUAACUUCGGGAAACCGGAGCUAAUACCGGAUAAUUUCUUUCUUCGCAUGAAGAAAGGUUGAAAGACGGCUUUGCUGUCACUUACAGAUGGGCCCGCGGCGCAUUAGUUAGUUGGUGAGGUAACGGCUCACCAAGACCACGAUGCGUAGCCGACCUGAGAGGGUGAUCGGCCACACUGGGACUGAGACACGGCCCAGACUCCUACGGGAGGCAGCAGUAGGGAAUCUUCCGCAAUGGACGAAAGUCUGACGGAGCAACGCCGCGUGAGUGAAGAAGGUCUUCGGAUCGUAAAACUCUGUUAUCAGGGAAGAACAAGUACCGGAGUUACUGCCGGUACCUUGACGGUACCUGACCAGAAAGCCACGGCUAACUACGUGCCAGCAGCCGCGGUAAUACGUAGGUGGCAAGCGUUGUCCGGAAUUAUUGGGCGUAAAGCGCGCGCAGGCGGUUCUUUAAGUCUGAUGUGAAAUCUUGCGGCUCAACCGUGAGCGGUCAUUGGAAACUGGAGAACUUGAGUGCAGAAGAGAAGAGCGGAAUUCCACGUGUAGCGGUGAAAUGCGUAGAGAUGUGGAGGAACACCAGUGGCGAAGGCGGCUCUUUGGUCUGUAACUGACGCUGAGGCGCGAAAGCGUGGGGAGCGAACAGGAUUAGAUACCCUGG
rnacentral:rRNA from 1 species